rnacentral:misc_RNA from 1 species
UGCUGGAAGAGUGCCUCCGGACAC